rnacentral:rRNA from 1 species
UACGGAGGGUGCAAGCGUUAUCCGGAUUCACUGGGUUUAAAGGGUGACGUAGGAGGGUAGGUAAGUCAGUGGUGAAAUCUUCGAGCUUAACUCGGAAACUGCCGUUGAUACUAUCUAUCUUGAAUACCGUGGAGGUGAGCGGAAUAUGUCAUGUAGCGGUGAAAUGCUUAGAUAUGACAUAGAACACCAAUUGCGAAGGCAGCUCACUACACGAAUAUUGACACUGAGGCACGAAAGCGUGGGGAGCAAACAGG